UACGUAGGGUGCGAGCGUUAAUCGGAAUUACUGGGCGUAAAGCGUGCGCAGGCGGUUUUGUAAGACAGAUGUGAAAUCCCCGGGCUUAACCUGGGAACUGCAUUUGUGACUGCAAGACUAGAGUGCGGCAGAGGGGGGUAGAAUUCCACGUGUAGCAGUGAAAUGCGUAGAUAUGCGGAGGAACACCGAUGGCGAAGGCAAUCCCCUGGACCUGUACUGACGCUCAUGCACGAAAGCGUGGGGAGCAAACAGG
rnacentral:rRNA from 1 species